rnacentral:rRNA from 1 species
AACGAACGCUGGCGGCGCGCCUAAUACAUGCAAGUCGAGCGAGAAGACGUAGCAAUACGUUUGUAAAGCGGCGAACGGGUGAGGAAUACAUGGGUAACCUACCCUCGAGUGGGGAAUAACUAGCCGAAAGGUUAGCUAAUACCGCGUACGCUCCUUGGACUUCGGUUCAGGGAGGAAAGCGAUACCGUGGGUAUCGCGCUCUUGGAUGGGCUCAUGUCCUAUCAGCUUGUUGGUGAGGUAACGGCUCACCAAGGCUUCGACGGGUAGCUGGUCUGAGAGGACGACCAGCCAGAAGGGGACUGAGACACGGCCCCUACUCCUACGGGAGGCAGCAGCGAGGAAUCUUGGGCAAUGGGCGAAAGCCUGACCCAGCGACGCCGCGUGAGGGAUGAAGGCCU